rnacentral:rRNA from 1 species
CAGUAGCCACGGUAAUACGAAGGGUGCAAGCGUUACUCGGAAUUACUGGACGUAAAGCGUGCGUAGGCGGUUCGUUAAGUCUGUUGUGAAAGCCCCGGGCUCAACCUGGGAAUGGCAAUGGAUACUGGCGAGCUAGAGUGUGUCAGAGGAUGGUGGAAUUCCCGGUGUAGCGGUGAAGUGCGUAGAGAUCGGAAGGAACAUCUGUGGCGAAGGCGGCCAUCUGGGACAACACUGGCGCUGAGGCACGAAAGCGUGGGGAGCAAACAGGAUUAGAUACCCCCGUAGUCCCUGUCUCUUAUAC